UGACAGCAGUGGGCCUAGAGCCGU
rnacentral:misc_RNA from 1 species